GGGGCUAUAGCUCAGCUGGUAGAGCGCCUGCUUUGCACGCAGGAGGUCAGCGGUUCAAUCCCGCUUAGCUCCA
rnacentral:tRNA from 1 species